rnacentral:rRNA from 1 species
GUGGGGAAUAUUGGACAAUGGGCGAAAGCCUGAUCCAGCCAUGCCGCGUGUGUGAAGAAGGUCUUCGGAUUGUAAAGCACUUUAAGUUGGGAGGAAGGGCAGUAAGUUAAUACCUUGCUGUUUUGACGUUACCGUCAGAAUAAGCACCGGCUAACUUCGUGCCAGCAGCCGCGGUAAUACGAAGGGUGCAAGCGUUAAUCGGAAUUACUGGGCGUAAAGCGCGCGUAGGUGGGUUUGUAAGUUGGAGGUGAAAUCCCCGGGCUCAACCUGGGAACUGCCUCCAAAACUGCAGGACUAGAGUACGGUAGAGGGUAGUGGAAUUUCCUGUGUAGCGGUGAAAUGCGUAGAUAUAGGAAGGAACACCAGUGGCGAAGGCGACUACCUGGACUGAUACUGACACUGAGGUGCGAAAGCGUGGGGAGCAAACAGGAUUAGAAACCCUUGUAGUCC